GACGAACGCUGGCGGCGUGCUUAACACAUGCAAGUCGAACGCUGAAGCACCAGCUUGCUGGGGUGGAUGAGUGGCGAACGGGUGAGUAAUACGUGAGUAACCUGCCCUUGACUCUGGGAUAAGCUCGGGAAACUGGGUCUAAUACUGGAUGCUACAUGUCACCGCAUGGUGGUGUGUGGAAAGGGUUUACUGGUCUUGGAUGGGCUCACGGCCUAUCAGCUUGUUGGUGAGGUAAUGGCUCACCAAGGCGACGACGGGUAGCCGGCCUGAGAGGGUGACCGGCCACACUGGGACUGAGACACGGCCCAGACUCCUACGGGAGGCAGCAGUGGGGAAUAUUGCACAAUGGGCGGAAGCCUGAUGCAGCGACGCCGCGUGAGGGAUGACGGCCUUCGGGUUGUAAACCUCUUUCAGCAGGGAAGAAGCCACAAGUGACGGUACCUGCAGAAGAAGCGCCGGCUAACUACGUG
rnacentral:rRNA from 1 species